ACACACUUCUCUAUCCAGCGCACCCCAAAACCCAGUAAACCCGACCCAAUUCCCCUUUCUCUUCUUCUUCACCAAAGGAAAAGAAACCAGCAGGCAUAUCCCCCUGUUGUUAGUCUCUUCCACGCGUGAGCAGAGAGAGCUCGAAAAGCUCUAGCCGCGAAGCCAAAUGUGACUUAAGCCGCGUUUCUCCCUUUCCUUCUCUGUCCGUUCGUACCCCUGCAGAAGAGCAACUUUCUCCGUACGCGAGCAGGCCAGAUGGAGACAUCUCCUUGCCCCAUCGUCAUUAAGAGCGCAAUCGGACGGCUCUCAUCCCUUUUUCUAUUCAGAAAUUGUACAAGCUCGUACUAUUCAACCUCAACCUUAUCUCUUUAGUGUUUUUCAAUUUCGAAACUAGACAUGGAAUCUCGAUUUUACCCCAGUCUUUUUCGAGAUUUCCUCCGCUCUCCACCAGUCGAAAAAACCCUAAUCCAUUCCUAUAUAUAUUGCUUCGUCCACUAUUCUAGGGGGAUAAGGGUUGGAGUCGUUGUUAAAGAUAAAAAUCGCCGUAAGAACCACUAGUGAUAUAGCUAUUACAAAUAAACACUUGGGAAUAGGUCUUAAAAUCACAGAGAGUAAGGCUUCCGAUUCCUGUUUUGUUCUUUUUUUUUUCUCGAAAGUUCAUCGGAGUUGCGGUUUGGUGGUGGAAGGAUCGUUCUCAUAGCAAGCUCUUUGUCCUCGUUCCUGCUCUGAAAAGGGCUGAGAUUUAGAAAGGAAAAGUCCCUCACUGUUUUCAUGCCUAACCUCUUAGUGAGAAAUAAUGACAUAUCGUGCUUUUGGCCAUCAUCUUUACUCCAAUUUAAGAAAAAAAUUAUUUAUUCUUAACAUAUAUACAUUGUUGCCUUUGCUCUGUUUCAUGUUGUAUCUUAAUCCUAAUUACAUGAACUUUUCAUUUGAUUAUUGUUUGUCUUUAAUAUUUAACUAUCAUUCUUGCUGGUUUUACCAUGAGGAGAUUAGUUUAAUUUCAAAUGGAUAUGCUUUGAGUAUUACAUGCUUUUCCUUGGUCAUUGUGGUAUAACGUGGGUAUAGCAAAUCAAGCACGUGCAUCUUGGUCUUAUUUAUUUUUGUUUGUCAUGGCUGCAUUUCAUAAGAUUUAUACUCUAUUAUUAAUUAUUACCUUGUUUUAUUCUCUUCUAUGUUUGAAACGGCUUCUCCCGAGUCUGUGGAGACUCUUUUCCUUGCAUUCUGUCAAUUCCUUCAUCGAGUCAGCAAACAAGAUAUUGAAAUACAGGUUUCCGAAGAACCAAUACAAAGCUGGAAAUUAAUUUAUAAGUCUCCAAAAUCCAGAAAAUGAGUUGUAUACAUCAUGUAUGCUCUGAUAUAAAGAUUUAAAAAUAUUGAAAAUACGAGAGAUACAGGUCUGACGACAAAACACGGGUAGAAACCGGUAUACAGGAACGAUGGAUAAAUGCAUACAUUUAAUAUAGCAUGUAUACACUAAUAUACACGCUUUAUACAGUGAUAUACAGUCGUAAAUAUAGUAUACAAGUUCAAAAUAUGUCGAAGCAUGUUGGAAAAUAAAAAUGUGAAUUUCAAGCUGAAAUACAGAUUUGGGAGUGCAAAAUGCAUCCGAUACAAGGCGUAUACAUCCGAUAUACACUUGGUGUAUAUCUUGCCAUUUGAAAGCAACAGGAAGCCCAAAGGCUUAAAAGAAUAGCCCAUCAGCAAAAUUUCAAUAAAUAGGCCUAAAAGCCUCAAACCUUUGCAUGCUGAAUUGAGUUGCUGAAAAGUGGUCCCAAGCCCAUGUUUUGGACAAAUUUAGUAUAGUACAGGUGGGCCAAAGCCCAACUUAGUGGAAUUUGGGCAAAUCGGCCGAAGUUCAAAUUUUCCCUUUCUUUAUCUCUUUGUUUAUUUGUCCUUAUGUUGACUAACACUUUCGAUUAUGAUUUAA